rfam:Omnitrophica bacterium RIFCSPLOWO2_12_FTLL_50_11 rifcsplowo2_12_scaffold_916, whole genome shotgun sequence.
GCCCCUGUAGCUCAGGCGGAUAGAGCACCGGACUCCUAAGCCGGGGAGACUGGUUCGAGUCCAGUCAGGGGCA